rnacentral:rRNA from 1 species
GAUGAACGCUGGCGGCGUGCCUAAUACAUGCAAGUCGAGCGAACGGACGAGAAGCUUGCUUCUCUGAUGUUAGCGGCGGACGGGUGAGUAACACGUGGAUAACCUACCUAUAAGACUGGGAUAACUUCGGGAAACCGGAGCUAAUACCGGAUAAUAUUUUGAACCGCAUGGUUCAAAAGUGAAAGACGGUCUUGCUGUCACUUAUAGAUGGAUCCGCGCUGCAUUAGCUAGUUGGUAAGGUAACGGCUUACCAAGGCAACGAUGCAUAGCCGACCUGAGAGGGUGAUCGGCCACAAUGGAACUGAGACACGGUCCAGACUCCUACGGGAGGCAGCAGUAGGGAAUCUUCCGCAAUGGGCGAAAGCCUGACGGAGCAACGCCGCGUGAGUGAUGAAGGUCUUCGGAUCGUAAAACUCUGUUAUUAGGGAAGAACAUAUGUGUAAGUAACUGUGCACAUCUUGACGGUACCUAAUCAGAAAGCCACGGCUAACUACGU